GCAAGUCGAACGAAGUAGCAAUACUUAGUGGCAGACGGGUGAGUAACAUGUAGGUGUCUACCCUUUGGCCUGGAAUAACACGAGGAAACUUGUGCUAAUACCGGAUAAGUCUUUACGGAGAAAGCUUUAUGCACCAUUGGAUGAGCCUGCACUUGAUUAGUUUGUUGGUAGGGUAAUGGCCUACCAAGACUGUGAUCAAUAGCUGAUUUGAGAGGAUGAUCAGCCACAUUGGGACUGAGACACGGCCCAAACUCCUACGGGAGGCAGCAGUGGGGAAUCUUGCACAAUGGAGGAAACUCUGAUGCAGCGAUGCCGCGUGAGUGAAGAAGGCCAUUGGGUUGUAAAGCUCUUUCGUCGGGGAAGAAAAUGACUGUACCCGAAUAAGAAGGUCCGGCUAACUUCGUGCCAGCAGCCGCGGUAAUACGAAGGGACCUAGCGUAGUUCGGAAUUACUGGGCUUAAAGAGUUCGUAGGUGGUUGAAAAAGUUGGUGGUGAAAUCCCAGAGCUUAACUCUGGAACUGCCAUCAAAACUUUUCAGCUAGAGUUUGAUAGAGGAAAGCAGAAUUUCUAGUGUAGAGGUGAAAUUCGUAGAUAUUAGAAAGAAUACCAAUUGCGAAGGCAGCUUUCUGGAUCAUUACUGACACUGAGGAACGAAAGCAUGGGUAGCGAAGAGGAUUAGAUACCCUCGUAGUCCAUGCCGUAAACGAUGUGUGUUAGACGUUGGAAAUUUAUUUUCAGUGUCGCAGCGAAAGCGAUAAACACACCGCCUGGGGAGUACGACCGCAAGGUU
rnacentral:rRNA from 1 species